CCUACGGGAGGCAGCAGUGGGGAAUAUUGCACAAUGGGGGAAACCCUGAUGCAGCGACGCCGCGUGAGUGAAGAAGUCCUUCGUUAUGUAAAGCUCUAUCAGCAGGGAAGAAAAUGACGGUACCUGAGUAAGAAGCCACGGCUAACUACGUGCCAGCAGCCGCGGUAAUACGUCGGGGGCAAGCGUUAUCCGGAUUUACUGGGUGUAAAGGGAGCGUAGACGGCAGUGCAAGUCUGGAGUGAAAGGCGGGGGCACAACCCCCGGACUGUUCCGGAAACUGUACGGCUGGAGUGCAGGAGGGGUAAGUGGAAUUCCUAGUGGAGCUGUGAAAUGCGUAGAUAUUAGGAGGAACACCAGUGGCGGAGGCGGCUUACUGGACUGUAACUGACGUUGAGGCUCGAAAGCGUGGGGAGCAAACAGGAUUAGAUACCCGUGUAG
rnacentral:rRNA from 1 species